AUACGGAGGGUGCAAGCGUUAUUCGGAAUCACUGGGCGGAAAGGACGCGUAGGCGGGUUGGCAAGUCAGAUGUGGAAUCCUACAGCUUAACUGUAGAACUGCAUUUGAAACUGCUAACCUAGAGUAUGGGAGGGGGAGAUGGAAUUAGUGGUGUAGGGGUAAAAUCCGUAGAUAUCACUAGGAAUACCGAAAGCGAAGGCGAUCUCCUGGAACAUAACUGACGCUAAGGCGUGAAAGCGUGGGGAGCAAACAGGAUUAGAAACCCUAGUAGUCC
rnacentral:rRNA from 1 species